UACGGGACAACAUUCCGAAAGGAGUGCUAAUACCGGAUGUGAUCAUCUUGCCGCAUGGCAGGAUGAAGAAAGAUGGCCUCUACAAGUAAGCUAUCGCUAAAGGAUGGGCCUGCGUCUGAUUAGCUAGUUGGUAGUGUAACGGACUACCAAGGCGAUGAUCAGUAGCCGGUCUGAGAGGAUGAACGGCCACAUUGGGACUGAGACACGGCCCAA
rnacentral:rRNA from 1 species